CCUACGGGUGGCAGCAGUGAGGAAUAUUGGUCAAUGGGCGCGAGCCUGAACCAGCCAAGUAGCGUGAAGGAUGACUGCCCUACGGGUUGUAAACUUCUUUUAUAAAGGAAUAAAGUGAGGCACGUGUGCCUUUUUGUAUGUACUUUAUGAAUAAGGAUCGGCCAACUCCGUUCCAGCAGCCGCGGUAAUACGGAGGAUCCGAGCGUUAUCCGGAUUUAUUGGGUUUAAGGGGAGCGUAGCUGGUCUGUUAAGUCAGUUGUGAAAUUUUGCGGCUCAACCGUAAAAUUGCAAUUGAUACUGGCAGUCUUGAGUACAGUAGAGGUAGGCGGAAUUCGUGGUGUAGCGGUGAAAUGCUUAGAUAUCACGAAGAACACCGAUUGCGAAGGCAGCUUACUAAACUGCCACUGACAUUGAUGCUCGAAAGUGUGGGUAUCAAACAGGAUUAGAUACCCGUGUAGUC
rnacentral:rRNA from 1 species